rnacentral:rRNA from 1 species
UCAUACCUUAUUUGAGGGAUAGGGUCGGUUCGGCCGGGUUUCACACAGGUGUUGCAUGGCUGUCGUCAGCUCGUGUCGUGAGAUGUUGGGUUAAGUCCCGCAACGAGCGCAACCCUCAUCCUUAGUUACCAUAGGGUAAUGCUGGGGACUUUAAGGAAACUGCCAGUGAUAAACUGGAGGAAGGUGGGGAUGAUGUCAAGUCAUCAUGGCCCUUAUGGAGUGGGCUACACACGUGCUACAAUGGUGGCUACAAUGGGCUGCAAAGUCGCGAGGCUAAGCUAAUCCCUUAAAAGCCAUCUCAGUUCGGAUUGUACUCUGCAACUCGAGUGCAUGAAGUUGGAAUCGCUAGUAAUCGUGGAUCAGCACGCCACGGUGAAUACGUUCUCGGGUCUUGUACACACUGCCCGUCACGCCAUGGGAAUUGGUUUC